UGGUAAUUCUAGAGCUAAUACAUGCUAAAAACCCCGACUUCGGAAGGGGUGUAUUUAUUAGAUAAAAAACCAAUGCCCUCCGGGGCUCCUUGGUGAAUCAUAAUAACUUAACGAAUCGCAUGGCCUUGAGCCGGCGAUGGUUCAUUCAAAUUUCUGCCCUAUCAACUUUCGAUGGUAGGAUAGUGGCCUACCAUGGUUUCAACGGGUAACGGGGAAUUAGGGUUCGACUCCGGAGAGGGAGCCUGAGAAACGGCUACCACAUCCAAGGAAGGCAGCAGGCGCGCAAAUUACCCAAUCCCGACACGGGGAGGUAGUGACAAUAAAUACUGAUACAGGGCUCUUUCGGGUCUUGUAAUUGGAAUGAGUACAAUUUAAAUCCCUUAACGAGGAACAAUUGGAGGGCAAGUCUGGUGCCAGCAGCCGCGGUAAUUCCAGCUCCAAUAGCGUAUAUUAAAGUUGUUGCAGUUAAAAAGCUCGUAGUUGAACCUUGGGCCUGGCUGGCCGGUCCGCCUCACCGCGUGUACUGGUCCGGCCGGGCCUUUCCUUCUGGGGAACCGCAUGGCCUUCACUGGCCGUGUCGGGGAACCAGGACUUUUACUUUGAAAAAAUUAGAGUGUUCAAAGCAGGCCUUUGCUCGAAUACAUUAGCAUGGAAUAAUAGAAUAGGACGCGGUUCUAUUUUGUUGGUUUCUAGGACCGCCGUAAUGAUUAAUAGGGACAGUCGGGGGCAUCCGUAUUCAAUUGUCAGAGGUGAAAUUCUUGGAUUUAUUGAAGACGAACUACUGCGAAAGCAUUUGCCAAGGAUGUUUUCAUUAAUCAGUGAACGAAAGUUAGGGGAUCGAAGACGAUCAGAUACCGUCGUAGUCUUAACCAUAAACUAUGCCGACUAGGGAUCGGUGGGUGUUAUUAUUUUGACCCCAUCGGCACCUUACGAGAAAUCAAAGUUUUUGGGUCUGGGG
rnacentral:rRNA from 1 species